ACAGGAAAGUGGAGCCCGAUACA
rnacentral:miRNA from 12 species